CACGUAGGGCGCAAGCGUUGUCCAGAAUUAUUGGGCGUAAAGAGCUCGUAGGCGGUCUGUUGCGUCUGCUGUGAAAACUCGGGGCUCAACCCCGAGCCUGCAGUGGAUACGGGCAGACUAGAGGUAGGUAGGGGAGAAUGGAAUUUCCGGUGUAGCGGUGAAAUGCGCAGAUAUCGGGAGGAACACCGGUGGCGAAGGCGGUUCUCUGGGCCUUACCUGACGCUGAGGAGCGAAAGCGUGGGGAGCGAACAGG
rnacentral:rRNA from 1 species